rnacentral:lncRNA from 1 species
UCAUAGAUAUUUUAAACAUUAUUUUAUAUUAAGUGAACUCUUACGAGUCUAUAAGUUUGAGUCUUAGGAGAUUUCACUAGUUUGCGAAGUAACAUGAACUCUUUAGUUUGGCAACCUUGCGCAUAACUAAUCACAACCAAUUAUUUAAGUUAGAACAAAGCUGUUCACCUGGCUUCUAAGUGAUAUAACUUGUAAUACUGAAGAUUUAUAUGUAUAAGGAAUUUUCACAUGACUAGAGUAGGUGUAUACUCUAUUAGAACUGAAAAUAUGUUUAUUAUAUCAUAUUAUGUGGUGAGAGUGUACAUUUAUAUAAGUAAGAGUCUCCUAGUUAACCCCUAAUUAAUAAGGAAGAUUAAUCAAUACAAUCAAUACAAUGGCUAGUGGAGUUGAAACUAAAUAGUCACAACUUUUCAAUAUCUCCACUAAGUACUUGAUUAAUUAUUCUAACAGUCCCCCUUCAAACGGAGGGUGUCACAAACCCUCAGUUUGUCUCUAAGAUAAAGGAAUCUGGCAGUGGACAGAGGCUUAGUUAAGACAUCUGCCCACUGGUCUUGAGCAGGCACAUGCGAGACAUUCAGUUCCUUCCUUAUAACCUUUUCUCUCACAAAGAAAAUAUCCAAUUCCAUGUGCUUGGUUCUUGAGUGCAGGACUGGGUUGUGAGCAAGAGAAACUGCACUGAGAUUAUCACAAUAGACAUGAGGAAUUUUACUCUUAAUUUGCAAUUCAUUGAGAAGAGAUUGGAUCCAAAUAAUCUCAGCCGAAGCUUGUGCAAGGCUUCUAUAUUCAGCCUCUGCACUAGAUCUAGCUACAAGGGUCUGUUUCCUUGCCCACCAGGAAACUAGAUUGGGGCCCAGAAAUAUGCAGGCUCCUGAUGUGCUUCUUCUGUCAUCAGGAUCUGAAGCCCAGUCAGCAUCACAAAAUCCGGUGAUUGCAAUAGGUUCAGUAGAGCUGGCAGGUGUAAGCAUUAACCCAUGGUGUAAAGUACCCUGCAGAUAUCUAAGUAUCCUCUUGACUGCCUUCCAGUGAUCUUCAAGGGGAUUUGAUAAAAACUGGCAAACUUUGUUCACAGAGUAGGAUAUUUCAGGUCUUGUUAUGGUUGCAUAUUGCAAUGCACCAACAAUUGACCUGAAAAAUGUAGGAUCUGAGACUGUACUUGAACCAAAUUUAGACAAUUUUGUACUAGAUGCCAUUGGUGAAGGCAUGCUAUUAGCAUUAAUCAUGUUAGCUUUCUGAAGAAGGUCCUUGAUAUAUUUGGUUUGAGAAAGAAGUAAAGAGCCAGAUGGUGAGUGAUGCACCUCUAUGCCGAGAAAAUAAUCUAGUAUACCCAAAUCUUUAAGGGAGAACUCAGAAUUGAGCUGAUGAACUAGAUUCUGAAUAGCCAGUUUUGAGUUUCCAGUGAUGAUAAUAUCAUCAACAUAAACCAAUAUAAAAAUGCAGUGAGCUUGAGUGUGCAAAGUAAACAAAGAAGGAUCACAUCUGCUUGACUUGAACCCAAAGCUAAGUAAAGAUGAUUUCAAUCUCUCAAACCAUGCUCUGGGAGCCUGUUUUAACCCAUAGAGAGCCUUGUGUAGUUUGCAUACAAGGUUCUUGUCAGAAGAUUCAAAGCCAGGAGGCUGCACCAUGUAGACUUCCUCAGUUAGCACUCCAUUUAGGAAUGCAUUGUUCACAUCCAACUGCUGAAGAGUCCAGUUAUAAGUAACUGCAAGUGUCAGAACUGUCCUCACUGUAACAGGUUUGACUACAGGGGAAAAAGUCUCAUUGUAGUCAAAACCUGCUUGUUGAUGAAAACCCUUAGCCACUAAACGUGCCUUGUACUUGUUUACAGUGCCAUCUGGAUUUUCUUUUACCCUAAAUACCCAUUUACAUCCAAUGGCCAGUCUGUUUGCAGGAAGAGAUACUAGAGACCAUGUCUGAUUAUGAAGUAAAGCAUUAUAUUCUUCUUGCAUUGCUAAAUGCCACUUAGGAUCCUGAAGAGCAGUUUUGUAAGUAGUGGGCUCAACAUGAGUCAAAAGGAGUGUAGGGUUAAUUCUGGGCUGCACAAUUCCAUGUUUACCUCUGGUUCUCAUUGUGUGACAGUUUUGAGGAUGAAUUCUGUGAGGAACAGGAGGAGGAGACUCAGAAUUAGUAGAUUGAGAGCUAGUAACACUAGCAGAUGACUCAGGUGAGGAAUUUUGAGAUGCAGAGGGAGAUAGAAUGGUGAUGGGUGUGGGAUUUAGGACCACAUUAUUUCUGUGUGAGGACUCGGAGUGAUGAGAACUAAUAGAUGGAGUCUGAGGGGUGUUUGAUAUGGGAGUAGUAGGAACAGACUCGGAAUGAGAAGUUUGGGGAGUAGGUGAGUUAACAAUGUGAGGACCAGACUCAGAAUGAGAAUUUUGGGGAGUAUGUGAGUUUACAGUAAAGGUUGUUGAGACAGGAGUGGGAAGAAAAGUGGAUAAAGUGGGACCAUCUGGUAAAACAGAACACACUUUCUGAGAUGGAAACAAGUCAAGAUAAGGAAAUUUUACCUCAUUAAACACAACAUCUUUGGAUAUAAAAAUUCUACCUGAAGCAUCUAAACAUUUAUAUCCUUUGUGACUGUUGGAAUAUCCCAAGAAAACACACUCCUUUGAAUGAAAAUCAAACUUAUGAGAGUUAUAGGGUCUCAAAAAGGGAAAACAUGCACAACCAAAGCUUUUAAGGAAUUUAUAGUCUGGAAAUUGAAGGUGAAGUAAGAAAAAGGGUGAUUUAUUUGCUAAAACUGGUGUAGGUAACCUGUUGAUAAGGUAAGUUGCAGUUAAAAAGGCAUGGUCCCAAAACUUUAAUGGCAUUUGUGCAUGAGAUAAAAGAGUGAGACCAGUUUCAACAAUAUGUCUAUGUUUCCUUUCAACUGAGCCAUUUUGAUGGUGAGUGUGUGGACAAGUGAAUCUGUGAGUGAUGCCAAGGCUAUUGAGAUAUUUUGUGAAAGGUAAAAACUCACCACCUCCAUCAGUUUGGACAGAAGUAAUUUUGUGAUUUAACUGCAAUUCAAUCAUGGUUUUAAAAUUCUGAAAUGUAGAAAGUGUGUGAGAUUUGAGUUUCAGAGGAUAUAUCCAUGUGUAUCUAGAAUAAGCAUCCACACAAGUAAGAAAAUAGGUAUAUCCACAAGAGGAUUCAACUGGUGCAGGUCCCCAAAGAUCACAGAAAAUUAAUUCAAGAGGUUUAGUAUAUGUCAUUUGAGAUGCAAAAGAUGGCAGUCUAUGAACCUUACCAUGACAACAAGCAGUACAGAAAUCUGACAAGCUUUUAUUUGGUAAUUUUAUAUUACAAAGUUUGAUAAUACUUUGGAGCACCUCAUGAUGAGGAUGUCCAAGUCUGCUAUGCCAGAUACCAUACAUGGAAGGAAAAGACUGAGUAGAACUAGAUGUUGAACUACUAGGUAAAUGUUCAACAUUAUUGCAUUGAAAAUUAUUGAAAUUGAAACCAGUUGAGGGACCUAAAUGAAAAGAGGCAGAAUUAUCAGUUUGUGCUGGAACUUUAUUGCAAACAGUGUUGACACUAGAAUUUUGAGAGACAGGAGCAGUGGUCUUGAAUGAUUUGGUGUGCUCAAAUUGAUAGAGACCAUCAUGUCCUAGAAUACCUCUUAAAAGCACCUUAGAAGAAUCCUGAGAUUUGACAAAACAAUGAUUAGGAUGAAACUCAAAGUAAACAUUGUUAUCUUUAGCAAAUUGACUCACACUAACAAGAUUUUUGGUUAUAGAGGGAACAAGAAGGAGAUUAUUUAGUUUUAGAGUAGUUUGAGGAUGUAAAGGAGAAGUAAAUUGUAAGGAACCAACAGAGGUAAUAGCCAAACCUUGUCCAUUUCCAAUAUGGACCUGAUCAGAACCUGAAAGAGACGUGGAAUCCAUGAGGUUGGAUGCAUCAGGGGUGACAUGAUGAGUAGCACCUGAGUCAGGGUACCAGGCAUUGUUGAAUGAAUUGUAUGGAUCUGAGCCAGUUAAGAAGGCCUGGGGAGCUUGACCUCUCUGAUUCGCAGCCUGUGUGGGAGGCCUAAGAAACUGUCCAGAAUGUUGAGGACGUGACAUGUUCUGCAUCCAUACAUUUGGAGGUGCACCAUAGCCUCCUGGUGAGCCAUAGGGACUGUAGUAAUCAUUUUGUGGGGCAAAGAAACGGUAGUGACAAUAGCUUGCAUCAUGACCAGUUUUUGAACAUAUUUGGCAUUGAACAUUGGAUCUUCCACCAAAACGGCCACCACGUCCUCUGAAUCUACCACCAAAACGGCCACCACGUCCUCUGAACUGGCCAUUUCUUCCUCCAAAAUUAGGGUUAGAGUUAGGAAACUGAUUGUUUCCGGUGCCAUCAGUAUAAUUGUGGUUUUGAGAAUUAGGACCAUGAGAUUGGGAUUCUGAAUUUGCAGUUUCAGUGAGAUUAACUGAAACAGGUUCACUGAUAGCAGCUUUCUUGAACUUCUCCUUUCUAGAUUCUUGUGUGAGAAGCUGAGAUUCAAGUUCAUCUAAAGAAACAACCUCAGAUUUUGCAUUCACACUAGCAACAAUAGGGUCAAACUCUUCAGGAAGUGCUUCAAGAACAACUUCAAUUAGGUCCCUGUGAGAGACUGGAUCUCCAAUUGAAGCAAGAGACUCUGAAAUUGCGCGAAUUCGAGCAAUGAAUUCAGCGACAGUGCGUGAACCUUUCGUAAUGGAUCUAAGUUCAGAUCGAAGUUGACGCGAACGCGUCUUCAUCUGCGUGAAGCAGUAACUAUGGAUCUCAUCCCAAACCUGCCAUGAGUGGCGAAGGAGAACGAAUCGCGAAAGUAGCGAAGGCGAAAUCGUUGAAAGAAUCCAGGUGCAGAGCAAUGAAUCUUGUUCUUCCCAUUCAGUGUAAGCAGGAUUCUCCGUUCCAGCUUCGCGCGCUGCAUCUGUGAGAAAAACCGGUGGAAUAUCAGGUGAAAUCACAAAUUUCACCAUCUUCGUUCCGCGAAGAACACCUUCGACUUGUUGCUUCCAUUGAAGGUAGUUCGUAUCAUCAAGCUUAACAGAAACUACUUGUUUGAAGGUUUUGGAUGCUGCAGCAGUUACGCGUUGCGCAUCAGAGGGAGAAGACGUAGACAUGGCUCUGGAUCAAGAAGCUCUAGAUACCAUAUUAGAACUGAAAAUAUGUUUAUUAUAUCAUAUUAUGUGGUGAGAGUGUACAUUUAUAUAGGUAAGAGUCUCCUAGUUAACCCCUAAUUAAUAAGGAAGAUUAAUCAAUACAAUCAAUACAAUGGCUAGUGGAGUUGAAACUAAAUAGUCACAACUUUUCAAUAUCUCCAUUAAGUACUUGAUUAAUUAUUCUAACAUACUCAGCAUUCAUUCAGUGGCAAAUCAUGAAUUAGCUAGGUUUGGUAGGUUGAGUUGGGUUUGAAUCUUUGGUUCUGAAUUAAUGCAACAGAACAGUUUUAUAAUCUCAACUUGAGAACUGGUUCCUAGGGAAUUCACCAACCAUAUUUUUGGACAUUAGUAAGAUAUUUCCCAUAAUGCUGAAGAUGUUCAUCGGAAGCAUAUGGAUAUGGGUCAUGUGACUGUAGUCACAUACUCGGCAUUCAUUCGGUGGAAGUUAAACAAAAAUGAACUGGGUUUGAACCUUUGGUUUUUAAAUAGUACAACCAAAAGUCAGAAGCUUUCAUCAAUUAACAAUAAGAGUUUUAGAUCUUUACAGGAAUACUGAUUUCCUAAGAAAUUUACCAACCAUAUCCAGUAUUUUGAACAUUAGGAGCAUCUCUCCCCCUUGAAUUAUUUAUUACAAAUAAACCAGUGGAAAAAAGGGAAAAUGACAGUAUACAGUUUUGCAAUUUCGCGUCCCAAUUAUGUUGAGAUUGUUUGUUAUAGUAUAUAACAAUAAUCUAGUGAACCAUAUAGCUAAGUUAUGGAAAGAUGGAAGCGUCAAUAGUAAAUUGCUCCCUGUUUGUGACUAAAUUUUAAGCGUUCAUAUAAUCAUUGGGAGUCAAAAUGAUUGAUGGAUUUGCCUCAGUGUGACUGUGACUGAAGGAAGCCAAACAUUUUGGUUCUUUUCUUAUUCCUCAUCUCCAUGUUAUAUCUAAAACCUCAUAAACAUCCACCUUGGAGGUCCCUUUAUUUUUUGUGGAUGUUGAAAUUAAAACUUACAUUCUAGUUUAAGUGCUGAAAGUAAUCAUUUGUUGAUUUGCGAAUACUUGGUUUUCUCCUGUCUUGGUGGCUAUGAAUUUUUUUGUUUUAGAGGAUGCUAUAAGCCCAAAAUUUAGACUGUGAAACUAUCCCCCUUGGUUUUCUUCAUUGAUAUGUUUCUCUUGUAAUUGACUUGUUAGCUUUUGAAGCAGACUACUUUGGUUUUGACAGUUUAAUGACAGUAAGAUCGAGGUAUUAUUUUUCCUUGAAUUGGAAAGAACCAGAUGUCAUUUAAAAAAAAUGUAUAUGCUUGGUGGAAUCUUUAGAAAUCAUGCAUAAUUUACCUUAGUUCUUCAAAUAUAUGUGGACUAGUGCUCCUAAAUUAUCAGUUAGGUGUGAGAGUCCCAGUCUUUUGUUAGUUUGAAACCAACAUAUCUUUCUCCAUCUGCAUUUUAUGUAUUUCUAUGACAAUCAAUUUUUGAAUUUCAAGCAUCUCUUGCUAAGGUUGUACAGAAAUGAUCACUUGGGCUCUUUUGAGCCAGCUUACUCUAAUGUGUUUUAUUGUUAGUAUUGCUGUAGUGUUAGGAUAUGGUUUAUGAUAGAACAUUAUGGCGUAAUUUUAUUCAUGUAGCCGCCCCAACUUAGUGGGAUAAGGCUCGGUGGUUAUUGUUGUAUUUCUGUAGGGUUAGUGUAUGAUUUAU